rnacentral:rRNA from 1 species
AUACGUAGGGAGCGAGCGUUGUCCGGAAUUACUGGGCGUAAAGGGCGCGUAGGCGGCGCUUCAAGUCGUCUGUCAAAUGGGAGGGCUUAACCCUUUUUCGCAGACGAAACUGGAGAGCUUGAGAAGCAGAGAGGCAAACAGAAUUCCUGGUGUAGCGGUGAAAUGCGUAGAUAUCAGGAAGAAUACCAGUGGUGAAGGCGGUUUGCUGGCUGCAUACUGACGCUGAAGCGCGAAAGCCAGGGGAGCAAACGGGAUUAGAUACCCCGGUAGUCCUGGCAGUAAACGAUGUAUGCUGGGUGUGAGACUAGCGAUAGUUUCGUGCCGAAGUUAACGCGAUAAGCAUACCGCCUGGGGAGUACGGUCGCAAGAUUGAAACUCAAAUGAAUUGACGGGG